CCUACGGGUGGCAGCAGUGGGGAAUAUUGCACAAUGGGGGGAACCCUGAUGCAGCGACGUCGCGUGGGUGAAGGCGUAUUUCGGUAUGUAAAGCCCUAUCAGCAUGGAAGAAAAAUGACGGUACCUGACUAAGAAGCACCGGCUAAAUACGUGCCAGCAGCCGCGGUAAUACGUAAGGUGCAAGCGUUAUCCGGAUUUACUGGGUGGAAAGGGAGCUCAGGCGGGGCGUUAAGCCUGGUGUGAAAGCCCGCGGCCCAACCGUGGGACUGCAUUGGGAACUGGCGCGCUGGAGUGCCGGAGGGGUAGGCGGAAUUCCUAGUGUAGCGGUGAAAUGCGUAGAUAUUAGGAAGAACACCAGUGGCGAAGGCGGCCUACUGGACGGUGACUGACGCUGAGGCUCGAAAGCGUGGGUAGCAAACAGGAUUAGAUACCCGGGUAGUC
rnacentral:rRNA from 1 species